rnacentral:rRNA from 1 species
UACAGAGGUCUCAAGCGUUGUUCGGAUUCAUUGGGCGUAAAGGGUGCGUAGGUGGCGGGGUAAGUCAGGUGUGAAAUUUCGGAGCUUAACUCCGAAACUGCAUUUGAUACUGCCUUGCUUGAGGACUGGAGAGGAGACUGGAAUUCACGGUGUAGCAGUGAAAUGCGUAGAUAUCGGGAGGAACACCAGUGGCGAAGGCGGUUGCCUGGAGCUUUGCUGACGCUGAUGCGCGAAAGCGUGGGGAGCGAUCCGG